rnacentral:rRNA from 1 species
AUUGAACGCUGGCGGCAGGCUUAACACAUGCAAGUCGAACGGAGUGGCGGACGGGUGAGUAAUGCUUGGGAAUCUGGCUUAUGGAGGGGGAUAACUACGGGAACCUGUAGAUAAUACCGCAUACCAUCGGUUGAGCCCCAGUGGGAGUAGGUAGUUGGUGAGGUAAAGGCUCACCAAGCCGACGAUCUCGAGCUGGUCUUAGAGGAUGACGAGCCACACUGGGACUGAGACACGGCCCAGACUCCUACGGGAGGCAGCAGUGGGGAAUAUUGGACAAUGGGCGAAAGCCUGAUCCAGCCAUGCCGCGUGUGUGAAGAAGGUCUUCGGAUUGUAAAGCACUUUAAGUUGGGAGGCGUUACCAACAGAAUAAGCACCGGCUAACUUCGUGCCAGCAGCCGCGGUAAUAC